rnacentral:snRNA from 1 species
UGCUCGCCUUCGGCAGCAAUAUACUGAGAUGGAGAUUGGACGAUACAGAGAAGAUUAGCAUGUCCCCUGCGCAUGAGGAUGACACGCAUAAUUCGUUGAGCCUUCGCCAUUAUUU